CCAGGACUUCCCACCCAGAGCUCUAGAACUCUAAGUAGCAUUGGAGUGUGAUCUGGACUACUUGGGCUAGGUAUCUCCAAUCCGAGCUCCUAGGUGUCUGGCCGUUAAAAAAGUUACCUCGUCAGGUACAGACACCCAGCUGCCAGGUAUCGUGAAAUUCUAUUCUUCCCCUGUUGACCCCCUGGUGGGGACCCAGGUAUAAAAAGGCAAAAGUCACUCCAAUAAAGGGUGCUUGUUUUACCCUUAAAUAAAACUUCGACUGAUAAUCACUAUUGGGCUAAUCACUAAGGGGACUGGGAGUCCUUGGCGGCGACACUCCGGUCACCUAGGAGAAGUCUGCCUCAACCCCCUAUUCUCCUAUGGCAUCCCCCAACUCCCUAUUCCCAUCAUCUCCAAUCCCUCCUGAGUUGGCCGGUCUAGAGAGAUGUAUUGAACUGAAAAUGAAAUAGUCACCAACGUGCCAAAAUCACAGCAGAGCAAAAUCAAUAAUUUAAUAAGUGAGGCUGAACAUUAAUUUACUAUAUUUUAACUGAACACCUUAAACAAACAUUAUGCUUUUGGUUGGAAAUUCUGUGACGUGAGAAGAAAGCACUCCCUAGUGGCCAGAAGCGAAUGUAGCAUGUGUUGCAGUAUUAUUAUCAUUAUUUAUAUAGCGCCAACAUGUUCCGUAGCGCUGUGCAAUG